rnacentral:rRNA from 1 species
GCAAGUCGAGCGAGAAGUUAGGUCUUGCUCUUAUUGGACAGCGGCGCACGGGUGAGUAACGCGUACACAAUCUACCUUUCAGAGUGGGAUAGCCCUGGGAAACUGGGAAUAAUACAGCAUAGUAUUAUUGGAUCGCAUGAUCUAAAGAUUAAAGCUCCGGUGCUGAAAGAUGAGUGUGCGUACUAUUAGCUAGUUGGUAAGGUAACGGCUUACCAAGGCUACGAUAGUUAGGUGGCCUGAGAGCGUGAUC